rnacentral:lncRNA from 1 species
UGACUGAGGCUGGAUUCAAACUCUAGCAGUUGGACUCCAGAGCUUGUGCCCUCUAUCAUAUUCCACAGGACACACCAAGUUUCUGGACACCUUUUCGAAAUUCUUCUUACUAUAACUCCUCUCGCUCCCUCUCCUCUUCUUCCUCUCUGUCAUCCUCCUCCUUUUUCUCUUCUGCCUUCCUCUCUUUACAUGGAUCCUGCCCAGAGAUUCAGGUUCUAUUUUGUAAGUGGUACAUCAUCCAAUUUUUAUUUCCUAUCACAGAGCUAAUGUAUUCCAACCAGUCCUUUUUCCAAUAGUUGCUAAUCCAGCGAAAUCAGUAUCAGUCACCAAAGGAAAUUCAAAUAGAGGGAACUGCUCCAUCUAGAGUUUCAUUUUGCAACUAAGUUAUUUGUUGUUUCCAUUUAGUGCUCUUCCUCUCUUCUUCCCUUUCCAAGAUGAAUUUGCCUUGUCUAAACAUUAGGCUUUCUAGUCCAGGUUAAGCCAAAAAUAAAUCAGUCUAUGGUGGCAUGUUCAGUGAGUGGUUUCCUGUAGAUAUCUGAGGGCAGCACAUUCCUUUUCACCUUCUCUUUUCUAAACAAAUACAUCUCGAUUUCAAUCUUUUUUCCUAGGGAAAUACUGUUUCCUUUUUCUUCCCAUACUCUGAGCUCUUUUUUUCUCUUUGUUUUAUGCAUUUAGCUGCUUCAAUUUCUGUCCUGCUGCCUCAAAAGGUGACACAGAGGCAGCUGAAGUCCAGGGGUCAGAGAUUCUCCGAUCUUCACCUUCAUGGAGCUCACAGUCUAGUGGGGAGACCAGGCAGAAGUCAGAUGAUCAUGUGAGAUCAUGUAAGUGCCCUGUGAAGCAUUCCAUGAAGAAUUCAUGAGCUGGCUGAUGGUGCAAAGGAGUUUACAACAUAGGAAUUUGGCUUAAGCAGGAAGCAGAGGUUCUUCCUCAAGUGCUCCUGAGGAACUGAUAUAAGUUAAGAGCUUAGAGGUGAGGAGAAGAUGAGUUGGUAAAGCGAAGAGGGA